AUGAUGAUGAAAGAAUCAAAAGAUGAAUUCACAACCAGUGAGAACAGAGAAAAUCCUUCUAGCGCAGUACCCAAUGGGGUCUCCAGGCAUGAGACAAAAAUCCUGAGUCUGCUGCAAGGUUUACGGUUGUGUCAGGAGGCCUGGGCUCCUAAGAGCCCCUGGGACAGUCAUGGGGCACAUGCCGCUCUGUGGGGCAGACCUGCUGGGGUGGGUGCCUUUACUUCCUUUUUAUUGAUGUUUGCUAAUUAAGUCAGUCAACUGUUUCAACAAUAUUCCCUGUAAACCCUAAUGUUUAAUAAUUCACUUAUUUAACUCUUUACUUUCAAAUUCCAUUAAAUCUAGACUUACUGUGGCUGCAGAGAGACAUACUGUAGGUAUUACCCAUGCCUACUGUUAAUAUGAAAAUAGGGCCCUAAGAUUUAUUACCGUUUAGUAUUACUGAUGCUAUUUUGUAAAUAGAUAUUGUGGGAAGUCACUGUUCCCUUUGGUGUUUCCCUGUUUUUAAAAUCCAUUUCCUUUUUCUUAAUGGAAGCAUAGUUUUAUGUGUACUAUUAGGGAGUUUAUUCAGUGAUUGACAGUAGAUGUUGUCAUAAUUUCCUAUUUAUGUUACAACGAAUGAAAAAAAAAAAAAAAAAAAAUAAUAUAUAUAUAUAUAUAUAUAUAUAUUAUCAUGUAAUGGCAUUUUUUUUUUUUUUUUUUUAAUUUAUUGUAUUCAUAAACAUGUAAAUAGCAAAUAGUUUUUUUUUUUUUUUUUUUUUACUUUAGUCACUUUCUUCUAGUUAAUUAUCUAAAGCAGCUACGAAUAGGAAGUCUUGCACAUUACAUUACAGAAAACAGCUUACUUCCGUAUUGCAUAUACAAGGUCCUAAAUUAAUACAUCAGGGGUUCUCAACUCUGGCCCCAACCUUGGGCUGCAUCCGAAAACUCUAACCUCUCCCUUUAAACUCCUAAAACUCUACUUCCUGUCUCCGGAGGUACCUUCUUCUGAUCGAAUUUUAAAGGUACAGCACAGAUGUAUCCUUCGCUGCCUUUGAUAUCCCACAAUCUUGUGCAUUUUAUUCCAUGACGGUUGAGCUAAAAAAUAAAGAUGGCCUCUGAAAGUUGCAUUUGGUGGUCAGUUUGUGUGUAAAUGUAUAUUUCUGCUUAACAUUUUGCACUUUCGAUGGGGUUUCUAACAAGAAAUCAGUAUUAUAGUAAUUAAAUAUUUGUUUAGUUAUCACCAAAACUCAUUCUAUUUUGUUGUAGAUCAGGGUUCCUCAAAUCUUGCCCUGGAGGGCCAAUGCGCUGCAGAGUUUAGCUCCAACCCUGAUCAAAGUCUCCUGCCUGUGAUUUUCUAAUGAUCCCAAAGACAUUGAUUAGCAUGCUCAGAUGUGUUUGAUUAAGGUUAGAACUAAACUCUGCAGGAAAGUGGAUCUCAUUGUCCAGAUUUAAGGAUCCCUGUUGUAGAUCAUUAAACCGUUACGCUGCCUCAGAAAGCUGUACGAAAUCAGUUUCAUGAGGUGCCUUUGUGCAAAAACGCUACCUGCAAAGUCAUUGCCUUAUACAGCAUCAAGUCAGCUACCUAAGUUUUUGAAUGCAGCCUUGAUCAAACUCACCUGCCUGUUAACUUUCUAGUAAUCCUAGAAGGUCUUGAUUAGCAUGUUCAUCUGUGUUUGAUUAGGGUUGGAGCUAAACUCUGCAGGAAAGUGGACCUCAAGGGCCAGAGUUGAGAACCCCUGCCAUACAUGGUGCCUCAAACCCAGGGUUGCCAAGGUUUCACAACAAAACCCACCAUAUAUAUUUAUUUAUUUAUUUAUUUAUUUAUUUAUUUUUUAUUUGCAUUCCAUGGACUAGAUAUCACGUUAUUGGGGUUGCUUCAACCCUUGGACAUGAAAAACAACCUGCGGCAACAGUGUAGAGGAGCAUUGCCGAACCACAACUGAAGCAAUGUUCCUUCGUAAGACUCAAGCGGUUUUUUAUUUUAUUUUUUUAUUUUAUUUUUGUUGUUGUUUGGAUUACCUAAUUAAUGUGUGCGUAUUUCUACUCCUGAUUCAGACGAGACAACUUUUCUACUUCACACGAUGUGUAUUGCAUUGCCGAACCACAACUGAAGCUAAUGUUCCUUCGUAAGACUCUAAGUCGGUUUUUUAUUUUUAUUUUUUAUUUUAUUUUUGUUGUUGUUUGGAUUACCUAAUUAAUGUGUGCGUAUUUCACUCCUGAUUCAGACGAGACAACUUUUCACUUCACACGAUGUGUAUUGAUGGACUGGAGUCAUGUCGAUAUAAAGUUACAUGGUGUUGCUUUACGCAAAUUAAAUGAAUUUUUAACAAGGAAAUAUUUUAUUGAAACUAUUGAAGGAAUAGUUCACCUGAAAUUAACAUUUUGUGAAUAUUUACUCACUCUUAAGCCAUCCAAGAUGUAGAUUCUUCAUCGAAGCAGAUGAAAACAUAACAUUAAUUAGGUAAUCCACACACCUACGGCCCAUCAGUUAUGAAGUGUUGUGAAGUGAAAAGCUGCAUAGGAAACCAAUCCAUCAUUAAGGCAUAUUAAGCCGUUAGUCCAUAUUUCAUAAUACGCACUCCUGUGAAAAAAAAGUCCUUCCCCUGUUGUCCUCUCACAUCAAAAUCCACGAACAUAUUUGUUUUUACUUUUAAAUAGUACUUGAUCUGUGUAUAUUUCACUCCUGAUUCAGACGAGACAACUUUUCACUUCACACAACGUGUAUUGAUGGACUGAAUGUUGAUUACUUGGAUUAUUGUGAUAUCAGCUCUCAUUCUGAUGGCACCCAUUCACUGCAGAGGAUCAGUUGUUGAGCAAAUUGUGUAAUGCUAAAUUUCUCCAAAUCUGUUCUAAUGAAGGAAUAAACUUUUGGGUGAACUUUUCCUUUAUGGUUAACUUAAGUCCUCGUCUAGUGUUAUUUAUUUAUUUAAAGAAUUAAAAACUACUGUUAUGUUGCAGAUAAUUGCAGAAGUAGAGUUAGAUAAGCUUGCGUACAGCAUGACUGCAAGAACACUUGAAGAGAAGCAAAGAGGUGGUGAAAGAUAAGAUAAAGAUCUAUUCCAGAGUUUGUGGAAGUGAUUAUUUAUGUUGGUGGUAUCUAGCAUUAUAAAACUUUACUUUUUAGAGUGUUUUUGCUGGUAUAAAUGCUCGUUCGUGUCUUUAAAAAUAAUGAUUAAAAAAAAUACAAGAUCUACAUAAUAUAAAAAGAAGAUUUAUUUUUCAUCUUAAUUUUAAAGUAUCCAAGGAUCUUUUGUAAAACUUUUCACAGAAAUGUUGACAUAUGUUGAAAGUCUACACCAGGGCAAUGUAGAUGUGUGCGUGUCACUUUUUUUCUUUCUUUCUUUUUCUUCCACAUUCAAACUGUGAAAUAUGCUCUCAUAGUGUCACUCUAUAUAAGUAGUGAGUGAUCAGAGGCCUCAUUUCACUUCCUUUGUGGUCAUUGUAAAGGAACAAAAUCCUCAAACAUAGUUUUUAAACAUUCUUUUUUAU
rnacentral:lncRNA from 1 species